AUCAAGGAACUGCUAUGUAUGGCUUUCUAUACUCCAUGAGAGGACAGUUGUGAGCCUGGGGACAGAUCCAGUGACCCGGGAUUGCAGCUCCUACCCGUGUCCCUCUGGGGACCAUCACCGUGGUCUGAAGGAAAGACAGGGAACAAAAAUGGAACAGAGACUGAAGGAAAGGCCAUCCACAGACUGCCCCACCUGGGGAUCCAUCCCAUCUGCAGAUGCCAAACCCCCACACUAUUGCUGAUGCCAAGAAGCGCUUGCUGACAGGAGCCUGCUAUGACUGUUCCCGGAGAGACUGUACCAGCACCUGACCAAUACAGAUGCAGCACUCACAAUAGCCAAGCGAUGCAUCCAAACUAGGAGUCUAUCACUGCGAGAAGACAAAUGGGGCCCAUGUACACAGCGGGAUCUUUUUCAGCCAUAAAGAAAAACGAAAUCAUGGCACUCGCAGGAAAAUCGAUGGAACUGGAGACCAUUAUGUGACAUGAACUCCUAGUGGAUCCAUUUUUCAGGGAAGAAAAUAUAAAGUUCACAGUGGUGAGGCUACUUUCCCCGAGUGAGCCAGCUGGUGAAGGGGGACCUUUGGUCCUUACCUUUCAGUUCCUCAAGCCUGAUGAGUUCUUACAAGCAGGCAAAAUGUGCACUUCUCUGUCCCACCCCCACAAUUUCUGCCACGCUAUUUUUAGACGAUCGAUUAUUGUGUCUUAGAAUAAAGUUCAACCUCAGCUUCCUGUGCCCUUAGAGGAAGUCUCCUCC
rnacentral:lncRNA from 1 species